rnacentral:tRNA from 1 species
GUUUCUAUAGUUGAAUAACAACGAUGA